GUAAUUCUCUGUUGCAGUUGAUGAGCAAGAAAGUACCAAGAACAAAGGAAGAACUCCUUGAACUCAAUGGCAUGAGCAAGGCCAAGGUAAGCAAUUAUGGUGAUUAGAUACUGGAAACCAUUAAAAAUACUAUUAAUGAGUAUUACAAGUUGGAUAAAAGCAGCAAUGGCAGUGCUGAUUCUACAAAAAGGAGACGAGAUGCAAAUGGAGGCCUAGAUAGAAAUCUUGAGGAUGAUGAUGAGUUGACUAAAAAAAUCAAAAUGUAAUAUUUAUUUACACGGACAUGAACAAUGAAAAUGUUGGAAUGAUUUGUAGCAAAUUUGUUGAGCAUCUCUAAGAAAACUCCCAAUGUAAUAGAACUAACAAUAUUUCCUAGUUUGAUACUUUGUAUAGGAGUCAUUAUUUUUUAUUUGUAAUACUAAAAAUCAUAUAUUAUGUUUAAUACUUUGAGUUAUAUAAUAUUUUGUGUA